CCUACGGGGGGCUGCAGUGGGGAAUAUUGCACAAUGGGCGCAAGCCUGAUGCAGCAACGCCGCGUGAGUGAUGAAGGCCUUCGAGUUGUAAAACUCUGUCCUAUGGGAAGAAACAAAUGACGGUACCAUAGGAGGAAGCCCCGGCUAACUACGUGCCAGCAGCCGCGGUAAUACGUAGGGGGCAAGCGUUAUCCGGAAUCACUGGGCGUAAAGGGUGCGUAGGCGGCUUAUCAAGCCAGGGGUGAAAGGCAGUGGCUCAACCAAUGUAAGCCUUUGGAACUGAUAGGCUUGAGUGCAGGAGAGGUAAGUGGAAUUCCUAGUGUAGAGGUGAAAUUCGUAGAUAUUAGGAGGAACACCAGUGGCGAAGGCGACUUACUGGACUGUAACUGACGCUGAGGCACGAAAGCGUGGGUAGCGAACAGGAUUAGAUACCCCAGUAGUC
rnacentral:rRNA from 1 species